AGUGAACGCUGGCGGCAGGCCUAACACAUGCAAGUCGAACGGCAGCACAGUAAGAGCUUGCUCUUACGGGUGGCGAGUGGCGGACGGGUGAGGAAUAAAUCGGAAUCUACUUUUUCGGGGGGGAUAACGUAGGGAAACUGACGCUAAUACCGCAUACGAUCUACGGGUGAAAGCAGGGGAUCUUCGGACCUUGCGCGAUUGAAUGAGCCGAUGUCGGAUUAGCUAGUUGGCGGGGUAAAGGCCCACCAAGGCGACGAUCCGUAGCUGGUCUGAGAGGAUGGUCGGCCACACUGGAACUGAGACACGGUCCAGACUCCUACGGGAGGCAGCAGUAGGGAAUGUUGGACAAUGGGCGCAAGCCUGAUCCAGCCAUACCGCGUGAGUGAAGAAGGCCUUCGGGUUGUAAAGCCCUUUUGUUGGGGAAGAAAAGCAGCAGGUUAAUACCCCGCUGUUCUGACGGUACCCAAAGAAUAAGCACCGGCUAACUUCGUG
rnacentral:rRNA from 1 species